rnacentral:misc_RNA from 1 species
AAUCAGGUUAUUUUAGGAAAGUCCGAAUAUUAAUAUAUAAAUUAAAAUAUUUUUUUGUUUAAAUAAAAAUAGUAGAUUAAAUUCUCUUUUAAAAUAAAAUAUGUCAUAAAAAUAAAAAAUAAUAUAAUUAAAUAUAGAUUAAUAUUUACAGAAUUCGGCUUAUAUUAUAAAUUCUGAUU